AUAUCCCAGAAACCCCAGCUCUCAUUGGUUGUCGCCACUCUGAGACAUUGUGGCUGUGGUAACUAGUGACAAACCAACAGACUUGGGAAAUUUGAGACUGUGGAUUGAAGAUAACUCGAUUCCAUUUGAGCAACAAUGUCUUCAGAACAGUUUUGAAGAGCCACAGACCGUCCAGAGGCACAGGCAGGGCUGCAGAAAGAAUUGGAAAGGAAGACCUUGAAAGGGAUGACCGACUGCAAGAAGAAAGGCUGGCCAAGAUGAAGGCUAAAUUGCAAGAGCUGUCCUUUGAAGGAAGGCGAGAGGUGCUUCCCAUCUACCUGGAGGGAUUUUUGACAUCAUAGAGUACCGUAGAGCUAUCCCAGGGUCUCCGGACAAUCUCACUGGUGCACCUGCAUGAAUUGCAGGGAGACUCCUGCACCUUACCACACACAACUGCUGCCAUUUCACCACUGCAAUUUUCAAUUUAUUUAUUACCAAGUAUGUUUACAAAACAAGUUAAGACCUUCCACGACUACACUGUACUUUAUUCUUCAUUUGGAUCCCAAUUAGGAAAAACACUCCAUUUGGUGAUAUCUUUGCAAGUCAUUUUUUGUGAAUUUUUCCUUGGUCUGGUUGAUAUCAGUUCGGUACUUUAUCAGAAUGUUUCCCUUACAUUGUGCUUUUGUUAUUUUCAGGAAGGUUACAGAAACUACCAUGUAUUCUUGUUUAUCUCCCUAAUAAAACCUUUUGACCUAAUCUGUGUAAUCGGACUGACUAGUUCUGUACUGUAUUUACACCAUGGUAGUCCAUAUUUUUUUCUGGAUAUCUACCUACCUGUAGGUCUGCUAAUUUCAAGUGUAAACGGUCAAGAACCUAGAUAUCCAGGAGGAAAAAAACAGUAAAUCAUUCUAAAACCAUUCCAAAAGUACAAUAAUGAUGACUAUAUGCUAGAUAAAAAAUGCACAAGUAUUGUUUCUCACACAAAUGUAUUGCUGCCCACACAAACGUCCCUUAUUUAUGUGGUUGUAGGCCCACCUCUUAACAACAAUUCUGAGUAUCCUGUAGGUUUUCACACUUCCCAGGAACCACCACAACAGGGAAAGCGUCGGUCCUUCCCAGCUCAGAGGUGUGCUUACGGCUGUGUUGCAUUGCGACGUCUCCUCGAAGUUGUAGCAGCUCAGCCGUUGUUUGUGGUGGCACUUCAGAGAGUCUUGGUUCAUCUGAUCUCAGGAUCAUUCUCCUUGGUAGUCCCAAUUGAGAGCCCAGUCUUCUCAACACUGCUCUCUGAUGUUCUGGGUUGUCGGUGUAGUCCUUUGCAGUUUUCAAUGGGUAGACACUUCACCUUCGAGACUUGUUAUUGUAGAGUCUCCUUUA